CCUACGGGGGGCAGCAGUGGGGAAUAUUGCACAAUGGGGGAAACCCUGAUGCAGCGACGCCGCGUGAGUGAAGAAGUAUUUCGGUAUGUAAAGCUCUAUCAGCAGGGAAGAAAAUGACGGUACCUGACUAAGAAGCCCCGGCUAACUACGUGCCAGCAGCCGCGGUAAUACGUAGGGGGCAAGCGUUAUCCGGAGUUACUGGGUGUAAAGGGAGCGUAGACGGCAGAGCAAGUCUGAAGUGAAAGCCCGGGGCCCAACGGCGGGACUGCUUUGGAAACUGCCCGGCUAGAGUGCUGGAGAGGUAAGCGGAAUUCCUAGUGUAGCGGUGAAAUGCGUAGAUAUUAGGAGGAACACCAGUGGCGAAGGCGGCUUACUGGACAGUAACUGACGUUGAGGCUCGAAAGCGUGGGGAGCAAACAGGAUUAGAUACCCGUGUAGUC
rnacentral:rRNA from 1 species